GACGAACGCUGGCGGCGUGCUUAACACAUGCAAGUCGAACGAUGAAGCUGGAGCUUGCUCUAGCGGAUUAGUGGCGAACGGGUGAGUAACACGUGAGCAAUCUGCCCUUGACUCUGGGAUAACUGCGGGAAACUGUAGCUAAUACCGGAUACUUUCACCGGGGGGCAUCCUCUGGUGAUGAAAGAAUUUCGGUCAAGGAUGAGCUCGCGGCCUAUCAGCUUGUUGGUGAGGUAACGGCUCACCACGGCGACGACGGGUAACCGGCCUGAGAGGGUGACCGGCCACACUGGGACUGAGACACGGCCCAGACUCCUACGGGAGGCAGCAGUGGGGAAUAUUGCACAAUGGGCGCAAGCCUGAUGCAGCGACGCCGCGUGAGGGAUGAAGGUCUUCGGAUUGUAAACCUCUUUCAGUAGGGACGAAGCGAAAGUGACGGUACCUAAAGAAGAAGCACCGGCUAACUACGUGCCAGCCGCCGCCGUAA
rnacentral:rRNA from 1 species